rnacentral:rRNA from 1 species
UAGAGUUUGAUCAUGGCUCAGAACGAACGCUGGCGGCGUACUUAACACAUGCAAGUCGAACGCGAAAAUUUCCUUCGGGAUUUGAGUAGAGUGGCGCACGGGUGAGUAACGCGUAAAUAAUCUACCCUUAUAUCUGGGAUAACAUCGGGAAACUGGUGCUAAUACCGGAUACACUUAAAGAGACGCGAGUUUUUUUAAGGAAAGGAGACCUCUUCGUGAAAGUUUCUGUAUAAGGAUGAGUUUGCGUACCAUUAGCUAGUAGGUGGGGUAAAGGCCUACCUAGGCGACGAUGGUUAGCGGGUCUGAGAGGAUGAUCCGCCACACUGGAACUGGAACACGGACCAGACUCCUACGGGAGGCAGCAGUGAGGAAUAUUGCGCAAUGGGGGAAACCCUGACGCAGUGACGCCGCGUGAGUGAAGAAGGCCUUCGGGUCGUAAAGCUCUGUCAGUGGGGAAGAAGUGCUAUAUGGUUAAUACCCAUGUAGUUUGACGGUACCUACAAAGGAAGCACCGGCUAAAUCCGUGCCAGCA